ACAGGGGGAGCUUGCUCCCUGGGUGACGAGCGGCGGACGGGUGAGUAAUGUCUGGGAAACUGCCUGAUGGAGGGGGAUAACUACUGGAAACGGUAGCUAAUACCGCAUAACGUCGCAAGACCAAAGAGGGGGACCUUCGGGCCUCUUGCCAUCAGAUGUGCCCAGAUGGGAUUAGCUAGUAGGUGGGGUAAUGGCUCACCUAGGCGACGAUCCCUAGCUGGUCUGAGAGGAUGACCAGCCACACUGGAACUGAGACACGGUCCAGACUCCUACGGGAGGCAGCAGUGGGGAAUAUUGCACAAUGGGCGCAAGCCUGAUGCAGCCAUGCCGCGUGUGUGAAGAAGGCCUUCGGGUUGUAAAGCACUUUCAGCGAGGAGGAAGGUGGUGAACUUAAUACGUUCAUCAAUUGACGUUACUCGCAGAAGAAGCACCGGCUAACUCCGUGCCAGCAGCCGCGGUAAUA
rnacentral:rRNA from 1 species